UACGUAGGGCGCAAGCGUUGUCCGGAAUUAUUGGGCGUAAAGAGCUCGUAGGCGGCCUGUUGCGUCCGCUGUGAAAUCCCGGGGCUCAACCCCGGGCCUGCAGUGGAUACGGGCUGGCUAGAGGCAGGCAGGGGAGAACGGAAUUCCUGGUGUAGCGGUGAAAUGCGCAGAUAUCAGGAGGAACACCGAUGGCGAAGGCAGGUCUCUGGGCCACUACUGACGCUGAGAAGCGAAAGCGUGGGGAGCGAACAGG
rnacentral:rRNA from 1 species